GCCUGCGUUCAGUGUUGGCCAAUUACUAAUUCUUCAUGUUAAAUUAAUGGUUUUGAAAUAUAAGCCGGAAUUGGCGAGGGUAUGCUGCAUUCAUGUAUUUCUAUAGAAUAUAGUUAAAAGUGAGAAAGGCCGGCCCUAUACUCGCAGAGUAGCAAGGAAUCACCCGUAAGUUGCUUGCUGGUCAUUUCAUUUGUUAGUAAUGCUUAUUUGGUUUAUCAAAUUCGUCGACUAAAAUUAUCCAGCAGUAAGUCCACAAAGACAAACGUGGAGAGGACAAGUGGAGGAAAUAAUUCACGAGAUAUUCAUUAUAAUUGUGACAGGGAUGAUGUCAGUAUUUAUGAACAAGUAGAAAAUGAACAGUCGACGUACACUGCUCUCAAAAGGCCUUAGAGAGAGAAAGCGAUGUUCACUUAUAUUGUCAUCUGAAUGAAGUACAAAAUCAGAAGGAAACUGGAAUUUAAUGUCUUAUUUACGCAUAGUUAAUUGACAAUAAAUAAAUUUAGAAGACGUAAUUGACACUAAUAACUAUUUUUAAUUAAGGAUUGGUAAUUGCUUAUAGCUAAGGAUCUUGCGUGAUAUAUAACGGUUAAAAUUGUGUAGUACAGACAUCGCGUUUAUUUACUUGAUCUUGAGUGACUUGGAUGGCUGUAGGUUAUGUUAUUGUGUAGUGGGGUAAUGAAUAAAAUGCA